rnacentral:rRNA from 1 species
ACACCUGCCCCAUGCUCCAGAAUAGCUCUUGGAAACGGGUGGUAAUGCUGGAUGCUCCAACUUGACGCAUGUCUUGUUGGGAAAGUGUUUAGUGGCAUGGGAUGGGGUCGCGUCCUAUCAGCUUGUAGGCGGGGUAAUGGCCCACCUAGGCUUCGACGGGUAGCCGGCCUGAGAGGGCGGACGGCCACAUUGGGACUGAGAUACGGCCCAGACUCCUACGGGAGGCAGCAGC